GGACGAACGCUGGCGGCGUGCCUAACACAUGCAAGUCGAACGGGGCCCGCAAGGGUUCAGUGGCGAACGGGUGCGUAACACGUGAAGAAUUUGUCCAACGGCGGGGGAUAGCCGGCCCAACGGCCGGGUAAUACCGCGUACGACCGUCGAGGGGCAUCCCUCGACGGUGAAAGCCGCAAGGCGCCGAUGGAGAACUUCGCGGCCUAUCAGCUAGUUGGUGAGGUCAUGGCUCACCAAGGCGACGACGGGUAGCUGGUCCGAGAGGAUGACCAGCCACAUUGGGACUGAGACACGGCCCAGACUCCUACGGGAGGCAGCAGUGGGGAAUAUUGCGCAAUGGCGAAAGCCUGACGCAGCGACGCCGCGUGUGGGAUGACGGCCUUCGGUUGUAAC
rnacentral:rRNA from 1 species